GAUGAACGCUGGCGGUAUGCUUAACACAUGCAAGUCGAACGGACUCUUCGGAGUUAGUGGCGGACGGGUGAGUAACGCGUGAGAAUCUGGCUUUGGGUUCGGGACAACCACUGGAAACGGUGGCUAAUACCGGAUGUGCCGAGAGGUAAAAGAGAAAUUGCCUGAAGAUGAGCUCGCGUCUGAUUAGCUAGUUGGUGAGGUAAAGGCUCACCAAGGCAGCGAUCAGUAGCGGGUCUGAGAGGAAGACCAGCCACACUGGGACAGAGACACGGCCCAGACUCCUACGGGAGGGAGCAGUGGGGAAUUGUCCGCAAGGGGCGAAAGCCUGACGGAGCAAUACCGCGUGAGGGAAGAAGGCUCUUGGGUUGUAAACCUCUUUUCUUAGGGAAGAACAAAAUGACGGUACCUAAGGAAUCAGCAUCGGCUAACUCCGUG
rnacentral:rRNA from 1 species